GAUGAACGCUGGCGGCGCGCCUAACACAUGCAAGUCGAACGAUUAAAGCACCUUCGGGUGUGUAUAAAGUGGCGAACGGCUGAGUAACACGUGGGCAACCUGCCUUUUACUUUGGGAUAGCCUCGGGAAACCGAGGAUAAUACCGAAUACUUUGUAUGUAUCGCAUGGUAUAUACAAGAAAGCUUUUGCGGUAAAAGAUGGGCCCGCGGCCUGUUAGCUUGUUGGUGAGGUAACGGCUCACCAAGGCAAUGAUGGGUAGCCGGGUUGAGAGACCGACCGGCCAGAUUGGGACUGAGACACGGCCCAGACUCCUACGGGAGGCAGCAAUGGGGAAUCUUGCGCAAUGGGGGAAACCCUGACGCAGCGACGCCGCGUGCGGGAUGAAGGCCUUCGGGUUGUAAACCGCUUUCAGCAGGGACGAGGCCUUAUGGUGACGGUACCUGCAGAAGAAGCUCCGGCUAAAUACGUGCCAGCAGCCGCGGUAAUACGUAUGGAGCAAGCGUUAUCCGGAUUCAUUGGGCGUAAAGCGCUCGUAGGCGGUCUGUUAGGUCGGCAAGUUAAAUCCGGGGGCUCAACCCCCGUCCGCUUCCGAUACCGGCAGACUUGAGUUUGGUAGGGGAAGGUGGAAUUCCUAGUGUAGCGGUGGAAUGCGCAGAUAUUAGGAAGAACACCGGUGGCGAAGGCGGCCUUCUGGGCCAUAACUGACGCUGAGGAGCGAAAGCUAGGGGAGCGAACAGG
rnacentral:rRNA from 1 species